GGAAACAGAUCAGCCAAUAGCCCCCACAGUGGUCUAUAACAGCCCCCUGAGCCCCAAAAGGCAGUGAAAAGGGCAUUCGAGAAAGUAAACUGAGGCGCUGGAAGGGGACCAGGCCAGAGCCUGGAGUCCUGGGGCCGGGAGGGGCUGGC